rnacentral:rRNA from 1 species
GACUUGGACUGGCCGCCAGGGUCCGGAAGAGGAGCGAGUUCACUCGAUCAUCUACGUUACGUGGGUGGUGGGGAGCGACGAGCUCUGGGUUACUGUGAAGAAAUUAGAGUGUUUAAAGCAGGCAGGAAAGCUUGAAUAGACGAGCAUGGAAUAACAAGAUAGGACAUUGAGAGCCUCUUGUUGGUGAAGGGGGACGGAUGUAAUGAUUAAUAGGGUCAGUUGGGGGCAUUAGUAUUCAGUAGUCAGAGGUGAAAUUCUUGGAUUUACUGAAGACUAACUAGUGCGAAAGCAUUUGCCAAGGAUGUUUUCAUUAAUCAAGAACGAAAGUUAGGGGAUCGAAGACGAUCAGAUACCGUCGUAGUCUUAACUAUAAACGAUGCCGACUAAGGAUCGGCAGGGGUCGGUUAGCGACACUGUCAGGACUUUGUGAGAAAUCAAAGUUUAUGGGUUCUGGGGGGAGUAUGGUCGCAAGGCUGAAACUUAAAGGAAUUGACGGAAGGGCACCACCAGGAGUGGAGCCUGCGGCUUAAUUUGACUCAACACGGGAAAACUCACCAGGUCCGGACAUGGUAAGGAUUGACAGAUUGAGAGCUCUUUCCUGAUUCUGUGGGUGGUGGUGCAUGGCCGUUCUUAGUUGGUGGAGUGAUUUGUCUGGUUAAUUCCGAUAACGAACGAGACCUUGACCUGCUAACUAGAUGCUAGUACGAGAGUAUUGGUAGACUUCUUAGAGGGACUGACUA